UACGGGGGGAGCAAGCGUUGUUCGGAUUUACUGGGCGUAACGGGCGCGUAGGCGGCAUGACAAGUCACUUGUGAAAUCUCUGGGCUUAACCCAGAACGGCCAAGUGAUACUGUCGCGCUAGAGUGCGGAAGGGGCAAUCGGAAUUCUCGGUGUAGCGGUGAAAUGCGUAGAUAUCGAGAGGAACACCUGAGGUGAAGACGGGUUGCUGGGCCGACACUGACGCUGAGUGCGCGAAAGCCAGGGAGCAAACGGG
rnacentral:rRNA from 1 species